GACGAACGCUGGCGGCGUGCUUAACACAUGCAAGUCGAGCGGAAAGGCCCUGCUUUUGUGGGGUGCUCGAGUGGCGAACGGGUGAGUAACACGUGAGUAACCUGCCCUUGACUUUGGGAUAACUUCAGGAAACUGGGGCUAAUACCGGAUAGGAGCUCCUGCUGCAUGGUGGGGGUUGGAAAGUUUCGGCGGUUAGGGAUGGACUCGCGGCUUAUCAGCUUGUUGGUGGGGUAGUGGCUUACCAAGGCUUUGACGGGUAGCCGGCCUGAGAGGGUGACCGGCCACAUUGGGACUGAGAUACGGCCCAGACUCCUACGGGAGGCAGCAGUGGGGAAUAUUGCACAAUGGGCGGAAGCCUGAUGCAGCAACGCCGCGUGCGGGAUGACGGCCUUCGGGUUGUAAACCGCUUUCGCCUGUGACGAAGCGUGAGUGACGGUAAUGGGUAAAGAAGCACCGGCUAACUACGUG
rnacentral:rRNA from 1 species